ACCUGGGUGGCUCAGUCGGUUAAGCGUCCGACUUCAGCUCAGGUCAUGAUCUCACGGUUUGUGGGUUCAAGCCCCGCUUCGGGCU
rnacentral:tRNA from 1 species